UUGUAAAAAAAAAUAUUUAUUACAGACACUAGAAAACAACAAUAAUGAUAAUAAAAUGUGGUCUUAGCUCAAUGUCUCUAGCACUUACUGAAUUAGUCAUAUGCCCAUGACUUUUCUGGAAUAAAACAAAAUCCUACAAGCUUCAAGACUAAACAUUUCAAUUUUAAUGCAAAAAAAAAAGACAAAAUAGCUGAUAAAACACAAGGACAAAAUAAAGCAAAGCAGGAAAUAAGCAACUGGAAUGAUUGCCAAGUAUUAAAACAUACAUUCAAUCAUUUUGUUGUAUUGUUUCAGACAUAUUUUGCAACACAGUUAACUACAAAUACACACAUACAUACAACGAAUUGAAUGUAGAGAAUGUUUCUUGUUAAAGUAUUUCAAUAUUCAAUUUGUCAUCCAGGUUGUUCAAUUGUUCUUUUUUUUUUUUUUUG